rnacentral:rRNA from 1 species
GACGAACGCUGGCGGCGUGCUUAACACAUGCAAGUCGAACGGUAAGGCCCUUCGGGAUACACGAGUGGCGAACGGGUGAGUAACACGUGGGUGAUCUACCCUGCACUUCGGGAUAAGCCUGGGAAACUGGGUCUAAUACCGGAUAGGACCACUGCCUGCAUGGGUGGUGGUGGAAAGCUUUUGCGGUGUGGGAUGGGCCCGCGGCCUAUCAGCUUGUCGGUGGGGUGAUGGCCUACCAAGGCGACGACGGGUAGCCGGCCUGAGAGGGUGACCGGCCACACUGGGACUGAGAUACGGCCCAGACUCCUACGGGAGGCAGCAGUGGGGAAUAUUGCACAAUGGGCGCAAGCCUGAUGCAGCAACGCCGCGUGAGGGAUGACGGCCUUCGGGUUGUAAACCUGUUUCAGCACCGACGAAGCGCAAGUGACGGUAGGUGCAGAAGAAGGACCGGCCAACUACGUGCCAGCCGCCGCGGUAA